rnacentral:rRNA from 1 species
GACGAACGCUGGCGGCGUGCCUAAUACAUGCAAGUCGAACGCUGAAGGAGGAGCUUGCUUCUCUGGAUGAGUUGCGAACGGGUGAGUAACGCGUAGGUAACCUGCCUGGUAGCGGGGGAUAACUAUUGGAAACGAUAGCUAAUACCGCAUAAGAGUAGAUGUUGCAUGACAUUUGCUUAAAAGGUGCAAUUGCUUCACUACCAGAUGGACCUGCGUUGUAUUAGCUAGUUGGUGGGGUAACGGCUCACCAAGGCGACGAUACAUACCCGACCGGAGAGGGGGAGUAGCCAGACUGAGAGGGAGACACGGCACAGACGCCUACAGGAGGCAGCAGGAGGGAAACGUCGGGAAGGGACGGAAGUCUGAGCGAGCAACGCCGAGUGAGGGAAGAAGGAUGUCGGAUCGGGAAGCACGGUUGUAAGGGAAGAACGCGUGUGAGAGUGGAAAGAUCACACUGUGACGGUAUCUGACCAGAAAGGGACGGCUAACUACGUG